rnacentral:rRNA from 1 species
GACGAACGCUGGCGGCGUGCUUAACACAUGCAAGUCGAGCGGUAAGGCUCCUUCGGGAGUACACGAGCGGCGAACGGGUGAGUAACACGUGAGCAAUCUGCCCUUCACACGGGGAUAACCCUCGGAAACGAGAGCUAAUACCCGAUACGACCACUUCAGGCAUCUGAUGGUGGUGGAAAGUUCCGGCGGUGAAGGAUGAGCUCGCGGCCUAUCAGCUUGUUGGUGGGGUAACGGCCCACCAAGGCAACGACGGGUAGCCGGCCUGAGAGGGUGACCGGCCACACUGGGACUGAGACACGGCCCAGACUCCUACGGGAGGCAGCAGUGGGGAAUAUUGGACAAUGGGCGAAAGCCUGAUCCAGCAACGCCGCGUGAGGGAUGACGGCCUUCGGGUUGUAAACCUCUUUCAGCAGGGACGAAGCGCAAGUGACGGUACCUGCGGAAGAAGAACCGGCCAACUACGUGCCAGCAGCCGCCGUAA